rnacentral:rRNA from 1 species
UACAGAGGUCUCAAGCGUUGUUCGGAUUCAUUGGGCGUAAAGGGUGCGUAGGCGGCGCGGUAAGUCGGGUGUGAAAUCUCGGGGCUUAACUCCGAAACUGCAUUCGAUACUGCCGUGCUUGAGGACUGGAGAGGAGACUGGAAUUUACGGUGUAGCGGUGAAGUGCGUAGAUAUCGUAAGGAAGACCAGUGGCGAAGGCGGGUCUCUGGACAGUUCCUGACGCUGAGGCACGAAGGCCAGGGGAGCAAACGGG